rfam:Otolemur garnettii contig151115, whole genome shotgun sequence.
GCCGGGCGUUGUGGCGGGCGCCUGUAGUCCCAGCUACUUGGGAGGCUGAGGCAGGAGACUCGCUUGAGCCCAGGAGUUGGAGGUUGCUGUGAGCUGUGAUGCAACGGCACUCUACCCAGGGGAAUAGCUUGAGGCUCUGUCUCCAAAAAUAUAACAAGCUGUCACCCUUGUUAGAGUGCUGUGACAUCACAGCUCAUAGCAACCUUAAACUCUUGGGCUUAAGUGAUUCUCGUGCCUCAG